rnacentral:rRNA from 1 species
UACGUAGGGGGCAAGCGUUGUCCGGAAUUAUUGGGCGUAAAGAGCGUGUAGGCGGCCAGAUAAGUCCGCUGUGAAAUCUCGAGGCUCAACUUCGAGCUGUCGGUGGAAACUGUCUGGCUAGAGUCCGGAAGAGGAGAAUGGAAUUCCUGGUGUAGCGGUGAAAUGCGCAGAGUAUCAGGAAGAACACCCGUGGCGAAGGCGGUUCUCUGGGACGGUACUGACGCUGAGACGCGAAAGCGUGGGGGAGCGAACAGG